GCGAGUAUGGCCCUCACGGGUCUAAUCCACCACGAAACACCUUUGUGAACCAGUCAGGGGGACUCGGCGUGAAAGCCCAGGCGAUUAGCGGAAGGGCCCUCCUUCGCAAACCCGUUUAGAAGUCUUGAAAGUACUUUUGUAUAAUCUAGUA
rnacentral:misc_RNA from 1 species